UACAGAGGGUGCAAGCGUUGUUCGGAAUUAUUGGGCGUAAAGGGCGCGUAGGCGGUGCUGUAAGUCUGUAGUGAAAUCUCUGGGCUCAACUCAGAGUCUGCUAUAGAAACUGCAGUGCUAGAGUGUGGGAGAGGUGAGUGGAAUUCCGCGUGUAGUGGUGAAAAUGCGUAGAGAUGCGGAGGAACACCAGUGGCGAAAGCGACUUCUGGUCCUUAACUGACGCUGAGGCGCGAAAGCAUGGGGAGCGAACGGG
rnacentral:rRNA from 1 species